GGCUUCAACUUCUUCAGGUGUUGCCUUCUGUGGUGGAGCCGCUUUCAAUAAGGUCUUGCUCCCCUAGUGGCUAUGUAUAGUAUUUACGGCUUAUAUGUUUGGUCAUGCUUCAUUGGGUCUAUGUGUGGGUAGCUUAGAUUCUUAAAAUACGUAACAGCGCUCAUAUGACGUUAAGCAUUUCCUGGCGCAUAAUGUGACACUUCAGAACCUAAAACCCUGUUUCUCUCCGUUGACACGACAACACGUAACCGGCGUUUUCAGAAAUCUCCACUUCGGCCGGAGUUUUUAGAAAUUAUCGUUUUCUGUGAUAAAUGACAGCGUUUUCGUGUAAAUGAGAGGCCAAACCGCGUGGAAAUAUCUGCGUUUUCCCUUUGUGUAAACGGGGCCUAAGAGAGCACAACUAUGGAAGGGAAAAGGGCAAUUCACUGCCCAAAUCAGUGUGUCACUGAUUGUGUUGCACUUGGCAAAAAUCACAGUAAAAUAUAGACAAGAGUUUUUUCGUUUACAAACGUGUCCUUCUAAUUGCAUUGAAUCCAGCCUUACACAUUUGUUUUUUUAUUAUUAUUGUUCUUGUUUAAAUGUUUAGCUGUCAUUCGUUUACAAACAUGUCCUUCAAAUUGCAUUGAAUGCAGCCUUAUACAAAUAUUUUUAUUUUUAUUAUUGUUCUUGUUUAAAUGUAUAGCUGUCAUUCGUUUACAAACGUGUCCUUAUAAUUGCAUUGAAUGCAGCCUUAUACAUUUGAAUACAUUUUGUUACUUUUGUUCAAUGUUUGUUGUCUCCCAUUUGAUCCGCCGUAAUGACAUUUUUUCCACAUAGCAAUAGAUUUACUAGUGAAACUGUAUGAUUUCUGAUAUUUGUUCAUAGUGGUUCUGCCACACCCCACAACCAAUUACAUUAUAGAAAGAAGGGCCAUAAAAUCUGUAGGCCUAUCCAUAGAAUAUUUUCGCAUAGGGCUACAUGAAUUUUAAUAUUGAUUUUCACGAGCGCUGUCAGUUAAACGCGUUAUUAACGGCGUUAACGCAAACCAAUUUUAUUGGCGUUAACACUCUUAACUCUUUGGCUCAAAACAAAGUAGCAGUAGCCUGACUGCUAUGGUCAAGGCAGUAUCUUUGUAUGUUCAUCGUUUAAUUGCACUAGAGGCUUUUUUUUUGUAUCGUCCUGUUUUGAUCAGUAUAUGCC
ensembl:lncRNA